GGCGCUCUAGCGUCGUGCCUAUACCGGGCCGUCAACGGCACAGUGGGCGUCUGUCCUUCGGUCAGAGCCGUUAAGCCUUGACGAGUAGGAGGGUCGCGGCGGUGUGCGCAGAAGGGUCAGGGCGUGAGCCCGCCUGGAGCCGCCGUCGGCGCAGAUCUUGGUGGUAGUAGCAAAUACUCUAGCGAGGGCCUGGAGGACUGACGUGGAGAAGGGUUUCUUGUGAACAGCCGUUGCACAAGAGUCAGUCGACCCUAAGCCCUAGGAGAAAUCCGAUGGCGAUGGGUGGCUAAACAGCGUACCUAACCACGUUGUGUGUUGUAUCUGAUGCCCCUGUCGGGCAAAAGGGAGUCCGGUUCCUAUUCCGGAACCCGGCUGCGGAACCGUCACUCUGCGGGCACUCGCCUGCGAGCGCUCGUCGGGGUAACCCAAACUGGCCCGGAGACGCCGGCGGGGGGUCUGGAAAGAGUUUUCUUUUCUUUAUAAGCGUUCGAGUACCCUGGAAUCCUAUAGCAGGGAGAUAGGGUUUGGAACGCGAAGAGCACCGCAGUUGCGGCGGUGUCCGGACCUUCCCCCCGGACCUUGAAAAUCCGGGUGAGGGCUACGCGGAAGUCGCGCCGGAUCGUACCCAUAUCCGCAGCAGGUCUCCAAGGUUAAGAGCCUCUAGUCGAUAGAAUAAUGUAGGUAAGGGAAGUCGGCAAACUA
rnacentral:rRNA from 1 species